rnacentral:rRNA from 1 species
GGAGCUUUAGACUUAUGGUAGGACCAUGUCAAGAACCCCUAGCUAACGGCCCGAACUAAUUGAUUCCCUACCACAUGUCUUUGGUUGGGGCGACCGCGGGGAAAUAAAAAACCCCCAUGUGGAACGAGAGCACCUCUGCUCUCACAACCAAGAGCCACACCUCUAAGUAACAGAAUUUCUGACCAACAAGAUCCGGCACAGCCGAUCAACGGACCGAGUUACCCCAGGGAUAACAGCGCAAUCCUCUUCUAGAGCCCAUAUCGACAAGAG